rnacentral:misc_RNA from 1 species
CACCCGCGGUAGUGGAUGUGUCUCGUGUUGUGAUAACAGACACAUGUGUUUAUAGUCGUCUGUUGUGUGAUAAACAGUUCAGUCAGCGGUGGACUUACGCCGGUGGAGUGGUCUGAAGGUUGUACCUCUCUCUGGAUAACUCUCUCUCCGAUAUGUCGCCAGCCCCCGACCGCGCGACAGGCGACGAUGCGCUUUGCGCAAUUUUCGCGGAUGCAGUAUUCUUUCCUCUGGACAUCCCGUGGCAGCAGCCGGCGCCGCCCCCGCGGGCGCUCCUGCCGCGCUUCGACGAGCUGCUGUUACCGGUCAAAGUCAACGAGUUGCUGCAGAGUAAGGCUGCGCCGCGAGGAAGAAGGUGGCGGAAGAAAAAUAAGGGCAGCUCACCCGAUGUGUUAGACCACAAUGACGGGGAACAACGCACCAACCUGAAUAUUAGUGAUGUUUUCGAGGCGAUAUCGCUCGCGGACCCGUCGUUCGCCGCGGGCGUGGCCGACGCGGCCGUAGAGGACAGCAUGGCGCGCGCGCCGGCCCCGCACGGGGGGCCCUUCGUAAGGAUCGUCGAGCAGCCGGCUAGCAAGGCGCUACGAUUUCGAUACGAAUGCGAGGGUCGGUCAGCAGGUUCGAUUCCCGGCGUGAACAGCACGCAGGACCGCAAGACCUUCCCCACCAUUGAAAUUGUCGGACACACCGGCAAGGCGAUAGUAGUCGUCUCCUGCGUCACGCGGGAAGAACCUUAUAAACCUCACCCGCACAACCUAGUGGGCCGCGACCGCUGCAGCCGCGGCGUGUGCACGCAGAAGAUCGACGUGACACCAGACAAUGCACUGGUUACGUUCAGCAACCUCGGCAUCCAGUGCGUCAAGCGGCGCGACAUUGCGGACGCGCUGCGCGUGCGCGAGGAGCUGCGCGUUGACCCCUUCCGAACGGGUUACGCGCACCGCAACCAGCCCCAAGCGAUCGACCUGAACGCGGUCCGAUUAUGCUUCCAAGUAUUUCUGCCGGACGAGGCGGGCAAGGUGCGCCACUCACUGGCGCCUGUGGUCUCCGACGUCAUCUACGACAAGAAGGCCAUGUCCGACCUUCACAUCCUGCGUAUAUCCUCGUCUGCUGGAGCUGCCAGGGGAGGCACUGAGCUUAUACUGCUUUGUGAGAAGGUGACCCGCGAAGACAUAGCGGUAGUGUUCUACGAGGAGCGGCGCGACCAGGGCGCGGGCGGCGGCGGCUGCGCGGCCGUGGUGUGGGAGGAGUCGGCCAACAUCGUGAUGGUGCACAAGCAGGUCGCCAUCGCCUUCACCGCGCCUGCGUACCGCGACCCGCAUACGCAGGAACAUGUUGAGGUGUACAUCCAGCUGAAGCGGCCGACGGACGGCGCGCGGUCCCUGGGUAUCCCCUUCACGUACAUCCCGGAGUACCAAGGUACCGGCAAGAAGCCUCUCCCAGACCUCAGCCUGCUCACCCUUCUACUCGCUGAUAAGCGUUUAGACACCAACAACAACGACAAGCAAGACAAACAUGACAAGAACGAAGCCUUAGUCAGUUCCACAAGUGACAGUGUCAAUGUGUCUGAGGAGAGUGGUUCGGCAGUGAUUGCUGAUCUCAACGGUAACAUAGAGAUCAUAGAGGAGGCUGAACCACAGGAUGUAGUCGCUUCUAACGAGAAGAGUCUUAACGAUUUGUUAGAUCAAGUGGCAGAGCUUGACGAGAUAUAUUCCGAGAACCGCACUCGCCUUGAAAACGCCACCACUCUUAACAACGACAACGACAUGGAGGAAGACUUCAACGACGCUGGCACCUAUACCAGCCUUCAACUCGCGUUUAAAAAUCCUUUGCCUAUCUCUGAACAGGAGCUUCCUUACGAAGACGUCCAGGUUCAGACGUACCGCGGUCCUAUCAUAGAGUUCACGCCUCUCAAACGAGAUACGGAGGAGGAACGGGCCCCACCGCUGCCUCCUAAGAGAGUUCGCAAAACGACCGAACAGUUCAAAACCAGUCAGACAUCUGUCGAUAGUAUUCUGAAGCCUGGACGUCAGAUCCCUAUUACUAGGACUCCUGAGGUUAUCAACCGCGAUCGUACGGAAUUAUCGGUAGCUCGUAGCGAACCGGCGUUGCCUCCGGUUAAGAAGCGGUCGUUCUUCUCCCGUCUGUUCCGACGGAAGGAGAAGUCUCCCGCUCCAAGCGUUAAAUCCGAAGGCAAGAAGGAGUCUAGAGGCAAGCCGGUGGGUCGCUCCGUCAGCAGCGUCUCUGGCUUGCGUCCGUCUAAGUUUAAGUCGUCAGUGUCGCACACGUCUCUGAAAGACAACACAUCGACGGCCGGCCUGAGCUAUGCGGACAGUAUCACGCAUAUCUCUCUGCACGGGGAUGAGAACGAGAAGUCUACUUCUCAAACUUCACUCCGCCGCCCGGCCAGCCUUCAUCCCAUCCCGCCGACAGAUGGCGAGACUAUCCUGGUCGCUGAGAGUGUCUUGGCUUUAGAUGCUAAUCAGUUCAAAAAGCUACAGGACGACUUAGAUCUGACUGAAGCGGAACACUAUGCUCUGUACAUGGCAGUAGCCCCGCACGCUACUGUCUCAGAGUUCGAUGAAACUAGCUGCUACUAUUCCCCGGUAGAUGGCAGCAAGUUUCAAAACUAAGCAUAAUUCUCACAUUUAAAAAAAUGUGCCAGAUUUUAUACUACGACCUUGUGACCGAAGUCAAUCAAUGAGCCUUUCAAACUUUGAAACUGAAACGAAAUCGGUCUAUUAACAAAUUCUAGUCUAAAAUUAAACUAAAACUCUUGGUACUAUAUUUUUGAAGAAGAUUUCUAUGAUACGUCUAGUAAAGAAUGCUAUGAGCAUCAAUGUAUGAAGUGGCGAGCUACUUAACUUGAAGACUUAAACCGACCUAGUCCGCCCGCAAUGCCAAAUUUUUGUAGACUUUUAUUAUUACCCUAUGUCUACCAACUCUUAUACAUUUUUUUACAUAAUUUAUUAGUUGUGAACUUAUUGGGCAGCUUAUGUGAAAUAAUCUUUAAGUACUUUCUUACAGAGUGUGUUUUAACUUGUCGCCUGUGUUCUAGAUACGGACUAUUUAAAGCGGAAGCGACAGAAGACGCUUCAUUCCUCUCUCAUACAGCAAAUUGAGCAAGAGAGGGCCAACUGGCAGACGGAGCAGAAGCCGAUCAAGGCCGAGCCAAGUG